UGGGGAAUUUUGGACAAUGGGCGCAAGCCUGAUCCAGCCAUGCCGCGUGCGGGAAGAAGGCCUUCGGGUUGUAAACCGCUUUUGUCAGGGAAGAAAUCUUCUGAGUUAAUACCUCGGGAGGAUGACGGUACCUGAAGAAUAAGCACCGGCUAACUACGUGCCAGCAGCCGCGGUAAUACGUAGGGUGCAAGCGUUAAUCGGAAUUACUGGGCGUAAAGCGUGCGCAGGCGGUUUUGUAAGACAGAGGUGAAAUCCCCGGGCUCAACCUGGGAACUGCCUUUGUGACUGCAAGGCUUGAGUGCGGCAGAGGGGGGAUGGAAUUCCGCGUGUAGCAGUGAAACGCGUAGAUAUGCGGAGGAACACCGAUGGCGAAGGCAAUCCCCUGGGCCUGCACUGACGCUCAUGCACGAAAGCGUGGGGAGCAAAACAGGAUUAGAUACCCUGGUAGUCCACGCCCUAAAACGAUGUCAACUGGUUGUUGGGUCUUCACUGACUCAGUAACGAAGCUAACGCGUGAAGUUGACCGCCUGGGGAGUACGGCCGCAAGGUUGAAACUUAAAUGAA
rnacentral:rRNA from 1 species